CCAGCGUCUCGACAGCAGAGCAUACUCACGGCUCUUGUGGCGGAGUCACGCGGGUUCACAGCACUCCCUUGUUCCCCGCUCUCCCGCCGCUUGCUCAGACAGGCAUACACACACACAAACACAUACACACGGGGAGAGAGAGACGGGUACUGCUGUUCAUCACGAAGCAGAACCGCGAAAACUACGAUGUCGCUCAAGAAGAAGACGUUCAAGCAGCGUAUUCGCAAGAAUGACAUGAAACAGCGGCACCAGAUCGGCUCUGGCUUACGGAAGCGCAUGGGUGCCGCUCGUCGCAUCCGCAACCGCUACGACUCGGUGGAUGACGGGACACGGCCAAUGGAGAUGAUCGUGUCUGAGAUUGCAGAAGGUACGGCUGUGCCUAGUCAAGAGGCGGUUCUCGACCCCCGCAGUCUGACAGACCUGCUGCUGCGUCCGGCUGCAUCACUCGUGAGCAACAACGGUGCGUCGGCAAGCGCCAACGUCGCCACCACCUCUUGUGCUGUCGCAUCGAAGUCGAACUGUUGCAGCGCCAUCCCAUGGAAGAGGAAGUCGUCGAAGUCGUCCGCACUCCUCACCUCUGUGCCACUUGCAGCCGAGAAGGUGCUGCCGUCGUUGCCGUUAGCCCCUGAUGAUCCGCUUGCCUUGCCGGACACCCGCGUCUUCGAGGAGGAGGAGCGGCAGCAACGCCUGGCGAGAGAGGCGGCGGCGCGGCAGAACGAAAACAAGAACCUGUACCGCCACAGCGGGCAGCCCUACCUCUUUUGGGAGCGCGUUGGGCUUCAUCCUGCUCUCCUUCAGGCGCUACGGGAGCUGCACUUUACCCACCCCACCCCCGUGCAGGAGGAGGUGCUCCCGAAUGUACUGGCAAGCGGUGACGAGCUGCUGGCAAGGCAGCGGAGCAGCCAAGCGGACAAGAAGAGCAAGAUGCACAAGCGAGUCGGUGGCUCUGGUGGGAGCGCCGUCCAGGAUGUGGUGGUGUCGGCCGAAACGGGCAGCGGCAAGACGCUGGUGUUUGCGCUACCCAUCUUACAGGACUUACUCACCACGCUGGGCACGGAGAGGGUCACCACCGCCACGCCAGCUUCACCGGCAGAGACUGUGCACAAAAAAGCGACCGCCCAGGCGGGUUCGGACGCCGCUGUGGCGCGAGCCGAGCUGAAGGCGAAGCGCCAGAAGCGUAUCAUGCACUCUCUCAUCAUUUCGCCAACGCGCGAGCUUGCCCUUCAAAUCGACGCCGCUAUUCGCCAGCUGACCAAGUUCGCGCCGCAGGUGAUGGUGGGCUGUGUGGUCGGCGGCAUGGCCCAAGAGCGCCAGCAGCGCGUCUUGAACCGACACCCACACAUUCUCAUCUGCACCCCAGGUCGUUUGUGGGACCUGGUGCAGAAGAACGAGGGCUGCUACCUCGGUCACAGUGUCAGCCGGCGCCUGCACUACGUCGUCCUCGAUGAGGCUGACAAGAUGCUGCAAUCAGGACGCUUUGCCGAGCUGCAGACCUUGCUGGAGCGCAUCCACUGCGAGGUGCUCCCGGCGGGUUUCGCGCAGGACCGUGAGGAGGGUGCCGAGCCGGGCGAGAUCUCCGUCGAGAGCGGUCGCUGGGACCCCGAUACCGAGACGUUUAUUCCGUUCGACAAGGAGGAGACAGGCGCGACAAAGCCGAGGGUGAAGAAAUUGGUGGCAGAAACCGUCACCGAGGCGACCGUGGCACCAGUGGAGACAAAGAAAGGCAAGAAGCGCGCUCGCGAAUCCGUGGAGGCGGCGGCGGCGGCGGACGUCUCAUCAAGUUCGAAGAUGAAGAAGGCAAAGAAGGUCGCUGCAGAUGUGACACCAACAAAGAGCCGCAAGACGGCCAAAACGUCUGCGAAACAGGCAGCCGGCCUGAGGGAGGAAGAGGACGAGGAGGCGGCAGAUGAGGAGGAAACGGCGAGCAAGUAUGGCGACACAAACGCCGAGACGGAUCACGGCGAUGCUCGCCAGAAGAAGGACGAGCCACAUCCUAUCCCGAUGCCGCCGGAGCCGGCUGCGGGGCACCGUGUCAUCACCUACGUCACGUCUGCCACUCUGUCGCUGCAGACAAACUAUGAGCGGCGCGACUUCUCGGCUCGCAAGAGCAUCAUUCGCACCUCGAACGCAGAUGUGCUGAACAAGGUUCUGCAGCAACUGGAGAUCAAGCUCAGUAAUGCGCAAGUCUUCUCUCUUGCGGAGUCGGCCAACGUCGCCGCGCGCGUCAACGAGACAUACCUCCGCUGCCCAGACAAUAGCAAAGAUCUGUACCUGUACUACUUCCUCAAGACCUACCACGAUGAUCGCGCCAUCGUCUUCGUGAACGCGAUUUCCAUGCUGCGGCGUUUGGUAAAGCUGCUCGAGGUGCUCGGGAUCGCCGUGGCGGGCCUGCAUGCCUCGAUGCAGCAGCGCCAGCGUCUGAAGUUCAUCGACAAGUUCAAGCAAGGCAAAAUCCACGUGCUAGUGGCCACCGACGUUGCCUCGCGCGGUUUGGACAUUGAUGGGCUCAAGUACGUUGUUCACUACCAGGUGCCGCGCACCACUGAGGCGUACAUCCACCGCUGCGGCCGCACGGCGCGCUGCGGCGGCACCGGCCUUUCUGUGCUGCUCGUCAACGCUCAAGAGCACAUGUCGUUUCGCAAGCUGAUGGAGUCCCUAGGUCGGAAGGAGAGUGAGGUGGAGACGUUUGCGAUGCAGGCGACAAUUGUGCACCAGCUCCACAGCCAUCUGCGCAUUGCGUGGCAGAUUGAUAAGCUGCAGAAGGAGAUCGGGAAGUCCCGGGCGAACAAUCAGUGGGUGAACCGGAUGACGAAAGAGGCGGACCUGGAGACGGACGACAUGUUCGACGACACCGCAGAUGCCGAGAAUCGCGAAAAGCAGAAGGCCAUUCGCAUCUUGCAGCGCGAGCUUCAGCUGCUCGGACGGAAGUUCACGGGCCAGUAUGGCGGCAAGGGUGCCUUCCGCACGAGCGCAUACGCUCUGGGUGCCAAGCAAGCAGAGCAGCACCUGAAGGAGCGCGCCGACCGUCAGACGAUUCGCGUGGCGAGCAAGAAGAAAACUUUUGCAGCGAACGGCAAAAAGUAGCGCAUGCCGCAUUAGCGGACACGGAGGGAGUGACGGCUGCAGUAAAGGCAUAAAGAAGCGAACGAAAAAGAAGGAUGAAGCAGACAUGAGAUGUCUGUUCUUCCGCUUUCUUUUUUUUUUGCGUCUGUGUGUGUGAGGGAGGCGGGAGGGGGCCGGGCUGUGCUCGCUCAUGCUCACUCUUGACAUCCUGUCUCACCUGUGCCACGCUCAUUCUCUUCCCCUCCUUUGCUCCCGUGGCGUGACGCACUGGCCCAGGUCCACCAGAGGCGAAGGCGGCAACGGCGCUUGCAUGAUAUGCCACUUGUAACGUUCUCUUUGUUUUUGCUGGUGUGCUGUGUGAGCGGUAAGCGACUGCGUGAUGGCGCAGAUUUAAGAUCGAAUAACAUCGAACGAAACAAACGCAUUCGUACCGCUCUCCUUCCGUGCCUUGGUGAGACGGUUGCGUUCAAACGUUGUUGAAUGCAUUUUUUUUUGUUUCUCGGUCCCCUGACUCCUUUUCAUCUUUACAGCAGCCGACCUCCUCCGCAGUGCUCGUACUCAUCGAAAAGAAGCGGGGAGUAUGAGAGGGAGUACACGCAUCUCUGUGUGUUGAGGGGUACGAUACAGGGGGUGAGGCGGUGGGAAAACAACGAUUUGUUGCGCGGUAACAC
rnacentral:misc_RNA from 1 species